UGUUCUUUGGACUUCUUUCUUGGCCUUGCCUCUACCAAGUCUCUGUGGCUGUUACUUUCUUUUUCCUUACUUCCCCUUCUCUGGAUGCUCUUUGUUCUUUCGGAUUUCCCCAGAGGUCUUCAAGCUCCUUUGCCCUCUAUUGCAUAGUGCCAUGCGGCUCUCUCUCUCCUUCUACCCCGGGCUGGCCUCUCAUCCAUCACAGGACCUAGGAGCUUCCGACCACAUUUCACUGACCUCUGCUCUUUAAUGAAAGCCUUUUACUUUGGUGUCUCAAAUCUCACUACAGUGGCUCUCGGCAGCAUUUCGUUCUGCAGAAGUGUACAAUGCUUAUACCAAGCAGAAUCUUGGUAGCUGAAAAAUUCUUUACCUCCAUUUCUUGACACGCACAUUUUCACAUUUGAACCCUACUUGACUGGAAAACCUUGGGGGCUGCACGACUUGCUGCCAGACUGGUGACUUGUCUCCACAUCUCCUGGCUCGGUAGUAGUAGCACAAACUAGAGGCUCAAUAAAUGGACGUUGAUGGUUUAUUAAAUGAAGUUAGUAUUUUUGUAAGAGGUGGCAUAUUGGUAUCUACACUGUUAAUUUGGCUUGACACAGAAGCUUCAAGAAGCACUCACUGACUGGGCCUUCUGCUCAGAGGGUUUGCACAAUCUGUAUAGACUGGAGGAGCAAAGAAAGAAAAAAGAAAAACCAAAACCAAAAAAACCCUGAAACUGAAUGGACCUACCUACUGACAACUUCAUUUCAUCUGCCAUUGCUGUCUCCUCCUUGGAGUUGGCUGGGGCUAACUCUUUGGUUCAGGGGAGGAAGAACGCACUGGUCACGGAUGCAGCUUCUGGCUGAUUCGCAACGGCAUUUUCUCCGAGAUCCUCUGCUGCACCAAGAGAGAAAUUUUGCCUUCAGAUUUUCGCCAUAGCAACAGAUACUUUGCUUCAUGCCAUUAUAGUUAUCCACAUUUAAGUGCUUAAAACUUGGUUUUGAUUUUGAGACCCUUGGCCGUCUGCCCAGCCUUAGUCUUUGAAGCCAUUUUCAUCUUUCCAAGCAUCCUACACCUGCUGGCUCCUUCAAGGAAGUAUGAAUACCCAGAAGUGGUGGAGACAAUUCUCCUGGAAACCCAUGUUUUGUUGGGCUCAUUCUAAUUAGCUUGAAUUUUGACUUUCAAGUUCAUUUAGCUUUUUGGCCCUGGCAUUGAUUCUUGCCUUUUACCCUUGGAUUUGACACUUGGCUUCUGUCUCUUGGACCUUCAAACCUCCCCCCCCCGCCCCCAGUGGUCUUUGGUCUGGUUGUCCCUCUGGCUGUGAGUAUUCACAGCCUCUACUGUUCCCAUUCAAGCCCAGGGAAUCCAAUUCUGAUCCCAACCAAAUACUUGGUCAUCAACAUGAUUGAGUUAGAUCAGCAGUCCCUUCAAGAGGAAAAAAAGUCUUAUAUUGUUUGACCAUUUCUAUGUUCUUUAAGCAAAAGAGGUGUAAGACUCCUGCUUUCUGGUUAGGAGCUCCAGAUGUUCUGUGCUAUUA